AACGCACCUUGCGCUCCUUGGUAUUCCGAGGAGCAUGCCUGUUUGAGUGUCGUGAAAUCAUCAAUCCCCUUUGCUUAUUGCAAGUGAAGGUGACUUGGAAUUGAGGAUUGCUGAGUGCAUAUACUCUGGCUUCCUUUGAAUGCAUUAGCUGGCAUGUUCUUGCAGCAUAUAUGCGGUGUGAUAAUGUCUUCACUGCGUAGCUCAAGUAAUAGUUGGCUUCUAAUUGUCCUUCAGUGGACUUACUUUGACUAUCAGACCUCAAAUCAGGUAGGAUUACCCGCUGAACUUAA
rnacentral:misc_RNA from 1 species